AUUGAAUGCUGGCGGCAUGCCUUACACAUGCAAGUCGAACGGUAACGCGGGCUUCGGCCUGGCGACGAGUGGCGAACGGGUGAGUAAUGUAUCGGAACGUGCCCUGGAGUGGGGGAUAGCUCGGCGAAAGCCGGAUUAAUACCGCAUACGAUCUAAGGAUGAAAGUGGGGGAUCGCAAGACCUCAUGCUCCUGGAGCGGCCGAUAUCUGAUUAGCUAGUUGGUAGGGUAAGAGCCUACCAAGGCGACGAUCAGUAGCUGGUCUGAGAGGACGACCAGCCACACUGGGACUGAGACACGGCCCAGACUCCUACGGGAGGCAGCAGUGGGGAAUUUUGGACAAUGGGGGAAACCCUGAUCCAGCAAUGCCGCGUGUGUGAAGAAGGCCUUCGGGUUGUAAAGCACUUUUGUCAGGAAAGAAAUCGCUCUGGCUAAUAUCCGGAGCGGAUGACGGUACCUGAAGAAUAAGCACCGGCUAACUACGUGCCAGCCGCCGCAGUAAAAC
rnacentral:rRNA from 1 species